GUGAUAUUGAGUCUGUUAUUCUGCACUCUGGAAUGGGGCCCUGCUUUUUCAUCCUGGCUCUCUGUGUUCAACAGGUUUCUCUUUGGCCUCAUGUCUCCUCUCCACCCCUGCGAUUCAUUUUGGUAAUUUGAAAUCCUGUUCCACUUGGUGCAUUGCUGUGCUGAGAAUGACUUGUGGCUCCCUGGAUGGCAGCCCUCACAUCUGUGCUUAUGGAACAAACAGCUGAUGCAGGUGUUCAGAGCUGCCAGUAGAACACCUUUGCAAACUGAGAAGCUUUUACAUAGCAAGGAG
rnacentral:lncRNA from 1 species